GUGGCAGCGGGCGCGCCUGUAGGGGCAGCUGCGGCGGCGGCCCGGGCCUGAGGAGGCGUUGUCGCCCCAGGCUUAACCCGGGGACCGCCAAGGGGCAGGUGAGCUCCCGGCAGUUCUGUCACCGCCGCCAACGGGGACCGGAUGUGACCUUCUCCUGCCUGGGAAGUCUCCAGUGCUCAGGUUUUCAGUGUGCCCCUGAGGUGGCAGUUUAUAUAAAGGAAGCACUGGGACUUGUGGCCACACCCUUCAAG
rnacentral:lncRNA from 1 species